rnacentral:rRNA from 1 species
UACGUAGGGUGCGAGCGUUAAUCGGAAUUACUGGGCGUAAAGCGUGCGCAGGCGGUUUUGUAAGCCAGAUGUGAAAUCCCCGGGCUUAACCUGGGACUGCGUUUGAAACUGAGGGGCUAGAGUGUGGAAGAGGGGGGUGGAAUUCCAGGUGUAGCAGUGAAAUGCGUAGAGAUCUGGAGGAACACCGAUGGCGAAGGCAGCCCCCUGGGCUAACACUGACGCUCAUGCACGAAAGCGUGGGGAGCAAACAGG